CAAAAUCUAAAAAUCUGCAUUUUGAUAAAACUAAGAAUGAAUGAAACACUUUACAAGAAUUGGCCUAAAUAAGACUAACACUGUCAACUAUCUGAUAGUUUGUAGUUAAUCUGCUCUGUUCUGCAGCCCUGAAAUUUUCCGAAUUGUGGAUUUAUUGUCUGAUAAUUAGACAGGCCACUUACAACAGGCUUCAUUCUUGAUGGUUAAUAGAAUGGUGCAUCUACUGUUUGCAUAGG